GGGCCUUUAGCUCAACUGGCAGAGCAAGGAGCUUUUAACUCUUAGGUUGUGGGUUCGAGUCCCACAGGGCCCA
rnacentral:tRNA from 1 species